CAUUCUCCAAGGGUAGUUCUGUCUUUUCUGCUUGAAUUGAACUACAUGUGUGAGCUAGAUGUAUCAGUGUUGGUGUUGCUUGGUCAAGCAUCACUGUACUAGAGCCAAAGGGCUCCAAAGGAACUGAACCUCACAGGAGACAGUCUUCUAUAUUCAUUACAUAUCCGAUCACCAUUUGCAUCUAUUUGUUAUCUGAUUAUGCUAUAUAGGUAUGGAAUGAUCAGAUUUGACCUUUGAAGAAUAGAACGUCUCACAUAAUGCUUGUCCUCUUGUGCUGGAAGUGAGAUUGGAUAGGUCAUCUUAAGGAGCAGUGAAUCUCUUUCUAGGUUUGCAGAUAUAUUUUGAAGCUUGACUUUGCUGUAAAUUCUCACCUUUGUUGGUUUCUUGAGGCAUCCAAAGACUUCCUGUUUAGGUUAUGCCAGUUUCUUUCUGGUUCUACACGAAGUGAUGAAGGUAAAGGGUAUAUGGACCAUGCAAUUUCUAUUUUUGGAUGUGAAUAAUCAUUAUAGUGAAGUAAAACACAUCUAUGGUAUCUACAAACAAUCAUCUUUUCUUGCAUCCUAUCCUCUGGAGCACUAUUCAGUAUAUUUUUCUGAGUCUCCCUUGUAGAUGAUGCUCUGUGUAUUUCAUGUUAUUAGGCGAUUAUCUCAUUCAACAGGAAUGUCUCCAUCCUUUGUCUUUCAGUUUCCAUUAUCUACCUAGAAGCUCUAAAUGGAGUAUGUGUGCUACAAAAGUGGAAUUUUGUGAGUUAUAUCUACCAUGAGAAAGUAUUGGUCGCACAAUUAUAUUGUGUUAUCCACACAAUUAAUUAGGUGGGUUCAUGCACCAAAAAUUAGAACGGACAUGAUUAAGGAGUUUCUACGAAGCAGUCUGUUAUAGUUAUUUACAAGUUUUUGAUAAUAUCCUCUUUUAGUAUUUGUUGUAUUUGGUUAUUUGGAUCGGUUAUCUGUGAAACAACACUAUAGAUGUGAGUGUACUAUUUUUGAAGUUGAGGAAGGUAUUAUCUUGAAGUAGCUAGUAUGCUUUGAAUUCAUUUUGUCGUAGUUAUUCUUUUCUAAAUAUGACCUCUUAAUGGGAUAUUUCUGUUUCUCUAAGUUCCAGUUAUCCAAAUUUUCCAGAUAAUUUGACUGGGUAUAAUUUUUUAAGAUCAAGUUUUCUGCUUUCACCAGAAAACUCUGAAUGGUAUACUUCUCUUCCUCGCGAGUCCUCAGUUCAGAGAUGUUGGUUUAGAGAAACUUGUUAGUCCAGCUUUGUUUCUGUUUUCACCUCAAGUUCUUGUAUCUACUUUGAUAUUUCUAGGAUUAAAGAACAUAGUUUUUAGGUUAAAAUACACAAAUUCAGUUCUCUUCAGAAGAGGUAAUGAUAAGUUGGGUGGAUGGUAAACCGGUUGUUAUGGAGCAUAUUAAUAGAAAAAGGUGGUGGUAUGUUUUUUUUUACCAUCUUAAACAGGACAAGGUCCUGGUAUGAUCACCUGGAUUCAUGUUCAUACAUUGACUAGUUCUAGUCAUAUUGCAUGUUUUGAAAUAUCUGAGUAUUUGUUUUCGAUCAAUGUUACAAGGGCUUCAGGUUAUUUUGUGCGGGUGAGUGUUCAACUUCACUCGCGUGUUGUUGUCGCUCGGUACUAAUAUAAUGUGCUUUUUCCUAUAACGUGUAGUAAUUUAUACGUCUAUGUGCUCAUUGCAGUUUUUGGAGGAUGAGUGUUCUAUCCAUGUGGGAGUGUCGAUGAUCGAGUAAGAACUAAUUUCUCACAAAAAUAUUGUCUCAAGUAACAUGUAUGGAAUGCAGUUACUAAAUAUAGGUGGUGUAUAAGAAAUUAUUCUAUUGAGUAUAGGUUAAAAGUAUCUUUAUGUUUGGGUUUUGUGAUGAUAGGUAUCUCAUUAUUUUUCUUAUCUCAUAAGCUUAUUCGGUCACUUUUGAUUUGGGAUUGGUAUCUGUGGAUUCGUAUGUUGGAUGUGAUAAAGCGUUGAGUUAAGGGAAAACAAGGAGAUAUUUCUACUCAAAACAUGGACUCAUGGAAAUUUAUUCUAGAAGAAGCACUUGAUGAAACAUCUCUGAAUUUGGCAGAUGCGAGACAGGGAAUGUCUAAGAUUCUAUGUGUGUAGUGUUGGGAUUGGUGCAAAAACCUGAUUUCAGGAUACAUAUUGUUCUCUCUUUGUGAAGAUACUUUGUAGCCCCAUAAAUGCAGAAUCUCCUUAAUGGAUAUUACAUUUAUAUUUUUAGUUGGUGAAGGUGCUAUGAAAUUGUUGAGCUUACAAAUGCAACUUCUUGAUGUUAUGAGAUGUAUGUUGAGUUCAAAUAUAGAAUUUAUUUUAA